rnacentral:rRNA from 1 species
UACGAAGGGGGCGAGCGUUGUUCGGAUUUACUGGGCGUAAAGGGCGCGCAGGCGGCUCAUUUUGUCAGGCGUGAAAGCCCCGGGCUUAACCUGGGAACUGCGUUUGAUACGGAUGGGCUAGAGUUCGGGAGAGGAGAGUGGAAUUCCCAGUGUAGAGGUGAAAUUCGUAGAUAUUGGGAAGAACACCGGUGGCGAAGGCGGCUCUCUGGACCGAGACUGACGCUGAGGCGCGAAAGCGUGGGGAGCAACAGG